GCAUUGGUGGUUCAGUGGUAGAAUUCUCGUCUCCUGUGCAGGAGAUCUGGGUUCAAUUCCCAGCCAGUGCA
rnacentral:tRNA from 2 species